CCUUCCACAUCUGCUCCUUGUGUUUAGACACUGAUGCAGCUGGAGAUUAGUAACUAAUUAAUGCUUCAUGGGCCACUGAAAAGUAUGUGGAGACAAACUGUCACUGCAUGUGCCUAGACAGCAGCAUGGACUUGAAUUGGUUAUAACCACAAAAGAGGGAGUGGGUUAAAGGUAUGCUUGCUUAUUAAUCGCAAGGGUCAAAUUAAUCUGAAGACGGAGACUAGCAAGUUUCUAGCACUUGUCAAUGUGUGGUAAUACCUCUGCUGCAAGUCCCUGCACUGACAGAACAAAACUCUUCAGGAGACUGUUGUAGCUUGUUGCUUCCUCACUUUUGCAGCAGUGAUCUGACCAACAAAACACUUGCUCCUCUUCGCAAUAGCAGGAAAACAUCCCCAAGUCUCUACCCUAGCCUGUGAUAGCAGAUUUUAUUUCCUUAACAAUUAGGUUCUAUGUAAAGCAAAGUCUAAACUCACUAAAAACACAAGAGGCUGGAAAGUUUCUGGAAUCCUCAAAACUGAAUCAAGGGAGAUCAUGCUUUGUUGUUUCCUCUCUGCAGAUAGCAGAUGCAAUUAGAGCACAGGAAUGCUGGGGCAGGUGAAGCCAGAAAGUGUGCUGCUUGAGCAACUUAUAGCAGCCUAUGAUGGCAGUAAGCCUGCUGCUGUGGUUGCUGUGAGGCAACAAUGAUCUGCUGGAAAGGGACAUUAAGUCAUACGGCUGCAUCUCCACUGCAGAAGAGAAGGUACUUUAUUUCCCUGUAACUGACAUCACCCAAGUUUUUCUCCUUUUACCUUUGCUAAAGUCUCUGCAGCUGAAAAGAUCUAUUGUCUCUAAAACAAAUGCACAAUCUCUGGCUUCUAACUUGUUUUGAAUUUUUUGCUAUUAUAUGACUACUGUGAUCAUCUAGUCUGACUUCCUGCCUGCCACGGUCUAUAAACAUCCUGUAAAUAACUUCAGGUCUGAUAGAUGUGAUUAAAUUGGAAUGUUGUUAGAAAA